rnacentral:rRNA from 1 species
UACGUAGGGUGCGAGCGUUGCCCGGAUUUAUUGGGCGUAAAGGGCGCGUAGGCGGCUACGCACAUCCGUUGUGAAAUCGCUCGGCUCAACUGGGCGGGGUCAGCGGAUACGGCGUAGCUGGAGCAAGCUAGGGGGCAAUGGAAUUCCCGGUGUAGUGGUGGAAUGCGUAGAUAUCGGGAGGAACACCAGUGGCGAAGGCGGUUGCCUGGAGCUUUGCUGACGCUGAUGCGCGAAAGCGUGGGGAGCGAUCCGG